rfam:Capsella rubella cultivar Monte Gargano unplaced genomic scaffold scaffold_1, whole genome shotgun sequence.
GCCCGUAUAGCUCAGUGGUAGAGCGUCAGUCUUGUAAACUGAAGGUCCGCAGUUCGAUCCUGCGUGUGGGCA